GAAUGUGUAGAACAACAUCCUUAGAACCCAUGUGGAUAUAGUUUUCUUAUAAUUCAUCCCCUUGACCAAAAUGAUCAUAGGACACCCCAGAGUUCAACUGUCAACUCUGAUCAGGUUGUCCACAUUGUAUUUCAAAAUAUCAAAUCCAACUGAUGGAUUAUCCUGGCCAAGUUUUGCUAAAUUGAAAUACAGCGACUCAUUCUUCUCCAACUCUUGGAGUGGUCAAUCCCAUCUUGAUCACACUCUGACUUCGCAAGUACUUGACUGUGCCCAGAAGCCUUUCAUCCCUGAAUUAGAAAUUC
rnacentral:lncRNA from 1 species